ensembl:lncRNA
AGUGAAGAAAAAGGUUUCCACAACCAUUUAAUGCCUCCCCUCCUAAACCUUAUAAUUUUCAGUAUCAAUAUGUUUUUUUUAAACUACAUUUACAACUUUUUAAGACUCUACCUUCAAUCGAUUCAAUCUACGAUUCCAGGCUGCCCCAUGUUCCACGUCGAAGUGUCCCUGAGCAAGACACCUAACCCCUAAUUGCUCCCGGGGCAAAAAUAUGAAAAAGCCAUGGGUUUAAAGUGUAAUGUAAGUCGCUUUGGAUAAAAGCGUCUGCUAAAUGACCUGUAAUGUAAUGUAAUGUAAUCGAAUGUUUCCAUUUGUUUUUAAUUUGUAAUUUAAUUUAAUUAUAAAAAACAACAUUUAAGUCUCCCAACUUUCCGUUGUGGUUUCUUUAAGUGUUUAUUAUCUAUUUGUCCUCCGGGUCUAACGGCGUCUGCUUCACUGGGUGUUUACCGGGGGGCGGAGAGACCCUCGAGCACGGCCGGGAAUCAAUCCCCCUUCCUCCUCCUCCUCCUCCUCCUCCUCCCGGCCUUCUGGACAACGUACGGCGAUUCUGCCAGAGAAGAAGAGCAAGAAGCAGAAGCUCUCAGAUCAGUGAGCUUCCCUCCGGAGUCUUUUAUCAGCCGGCUUCCUGUCAUUACUCCGUCAGGUGUCAGCUCUGGAGUCUGGGAAGGAUCCAUGGCCCCUCAUUUCAGAGGCGUAGGGGCGUUUUUUGGGUGGAGAUGGGGGGGUCUGUUUGGGGUUUGGGACGCGUCUAUAAUUGAUGGUUCGGAAGUUUUAAGGGGGACGAUGAGAGGAGUUUAAUAAAGUUCCACAAGUGAGUCUCUUACUGUUCAACGUGGAAAUGCAACAAUUGCCUCAUUCGGGGGCGGAGGGGUCACACAGGCGGCCAUGUUGAAACACAAACAAUGUGUCAUGUUGUGUUUGUUGUUUCAUUAUCAUGAUUAAGCUGUACUAUGAUUCUGUGCCAGCUUUUUGCUAAUGUUUAAACUAGUAUAAUACUAGUGUGAACUACCCACAGCUUUCAUGCUGAUUGCAUGAAUUAUAAAUAAUUCCUUUCGUCCCGUAAUUUUGGAGGACCAAAUUCAAUGGGAACUAUCAAAAUAAUGUUAACAUUUAAUAUUUGGUGAGUGAUGAUUUGCAGUCACUAACUUUUACAAGUGGAAGACCAACAGCUAUUAUCAGAUUCGGGCACUUAACGCUCUGACAGGCCGGCACAUUUCAUAUUUAACAGUGUUUUCAUUUGAACAGGAGGUCAUGUGACUGACCUGGCCAGUACAGUACGUUCAGUACCUGAAGCUCCGUGUUCGCUUUGUAUUUAGAAUAAUAAACGCCAAGACUCAACCGACGGGGACGUGAGCGUCUCUUUCAACAAAACAUUCAAUCAUUCAUAUAAACGACAUUUAAAGGUGUAAUAUUUAGACAGCGGCCGGUUAGGCACAAGUAAUUGAUCACGUAUUCUCGUCGAGGGGUCCGGUUGUCCGUCCUCCCGAGGGACGGACCGGUUUUGGACUCGGGGGAUGUCAGGUUGAGACGUAGGGCGGUUAAACAAGCGGGACCCGUCCCAGGAAGCCGAUGUUGGGACAGUGUUGGGACGGUGUUAGGGACGGUGUUAGGGACGGUGUUAGGGACAGUGUUAGGGACGGUGUUAGGGACGGUGUUAGGGACAGUGUUAGGGACGGUGUUAGGGACGGUGUUAGGGACAGUGUUGGGACGGUGUUAGGGACGGUGUUAGGGACGGUGUUAGGGACAGUGUUGGGACGGUGUUGGGGCGAUGUUAGGGACGGUUGUUGGGACGGUGUUAGGGACGGUGUUAGGGACGGUGUUAGGGACAGUGUUGGGACGGUGUUGGGGCGAUUGUUGGGACGAUGCCGGACGCAUCGACUGACGGCCUUUCACGUGUGUACUUGUGAUUAAAACGUUAACAUCUUGGGAUAGUGUCCAACUGUGAGUGUCCCCCCCCCCCUGUCCGUCCACCGCUAAUCACAUAACAAUAACUUGUUUGGUACCACUGCAAGCUCAAAGUCCUCCAGAGGUUGGGGUGACUUAGACUUUCCCAAAUCUCCUUUUGUUGUUUGCUCACUUUUGGCGUUUUGGACGGGACACACACACACACACACACACACACACACACACACACACACACACGGUGUUAGGCAAGACAUUGCAGCUUGUUUCUUUAGUUUGGUUUUAAAAAUAAAACUCCUUCCUGCCUUUGGUGUCUAGACGGGGGAUUUGCCAAUAGCGGGUUCCCAGACUACAGCAGUGCUCACAGACACACCUAUGGGAGAUCUGCACUGAGGGAUCCUUAGUGAUGAGCGGCAUGUGCUGCUAUGUUUUAUUUAAUGUUUGCUUGUGCACAUUUGGUUGCAUGAAGUAAAUAAUGUUUUAAAUUCAGAGCACAGAAUGUGCCGGUACAAACCGCUGAUUACUGACGGAGCGCGCUGAGAAAACGGACACCUGGAGCGCGUUAUGGUGGUAAUCACGUGUGGCCGAGGUAAAUAUCAGGUAGAGAGCGCCGGCGAAACGUCCUUGAUAACAUUUUACAACGUGCCCUUUGGUCCCUUCACCCACAACGCAAUUCCACAGGAAGCUUUAACCGCACAUUCCUGAAAUAGCCUUUCAGAUGGCUGCUUCUAAAAGUGGUGAAAAGGCCGGAGGGAGAACCGGAUGAAGAGCAGCCGCCACCGAGCCAGUGUGAAGAGUGCAGCUUCUCUCCACACAUCUCGGGGUCGCGGGUGCUGGUCACGAGGCCUCCAGGAUCAGCUGCUUUUGAACGCCGGGGGGGGUAAAGCCUCAGCCCAUGAGCUGCGGUACAGGGAGCCCCAGCCGGGCCCCCGAGGAUCGACAGCAGGCAGACGAAUCUUU